rnacentral:pre_miRNA from 1 species
UUGAGGGGAAUGUUGUCUGGCUCGAGGACACUUUUAUUCGAUCUUUUGAUUUUUGUGUUUAUAUUUAGUGUCGUCGGACCAGGCUUCAUUCCCCCCAAUUAAU